GCUGAAUAUUCAGUGCCAGCUCUCAUCCAGAUAAGGCAUGGAUGGGAUCGGUUCCUGGUGCCAGCAGAUCACCCGGAAGGAAGUUUCAUCCCACCAGGUUGGGUCCUCCCCAGUCCCCCUUCCAGCGACGUUUGGGGCACGGCCGUUGGAUAAUGGUGCCAAAUCCUAACGAAGUUCUGGAGGACGCAGUGAUGUACUUUUCACAGAUCCAUUUGGUGUUAAAACACCUCAUUCUGUUUUCAUUGGAAAACCCAGAGACACAAGGCAGACUGCACUGUCAUAAUACAAGAUGAAACCCUUGGUCUUGGGAAGUUCUGUUGUUAGUCUUAUUUGUAAGAAGAGUGGCUUGAAGGAGUUAAUCAUCGUUGCAUCGUAAAUGAACUGCUUUUGCUGUUCAGUUGGGCUCCAAGAAGCCAAAAAAAAGUUUCUUAGAAUUUUCCAAAUCACAAAACGCUGCUGCCUUUUAUUUGAAGAAGAUCCCAACUGCUUAUUGCCAAGUUAGCAGCUAAGUUCUGCUUGGAGAUUAUGAAUGAGUCACCGGUCGGUGUGGCAGCAAAUCCUCAGUUAAGAACCUGUGCUGUUAACUUUUUCCUGCUAGAGUCAAGUACAGUCUUGAGACAAUGGCAGCUAGUGAACUUUUUGGAGAUGCCUGCUGGGGGGCUUCUAGCUACAGCUGUUUUUCUGAUCUUUCAGGGGUUUUUUUUAAAAAAAACUUCCAUGGUUAUUUUGGCCUUAUACACAGUGAAUUGGCAGCUGUGAGCAAUUAUCACCCUUUGAAACACUCUGGGGCAAAAUUGAGAGAAUUGUAGGUAUCAUUGUUGUUUUCUUGGUGCAUAUCACACCUUGGUUUUAUUUGUACAGGGAAAGGUCUGUGUAAUAGGGAAAAGCCAUUGUUUUGUGUUACCUCUUAAAUUCUGAAAACGAGAAAGGCAAUACCAACUGAUGUCGGUUUAACUGUACCUGCAAGGAAAUGAGCAAUUGAUGUUAAAUAUCUGGCACAGCCCUCUUAAGAUAAAUGUUAGCAACACAUUUUUCUCAGAUGCUCACAUUUCUGCACUGGAGGUUUUUGUAUUUUGGCAAACACACACACACACACACAGCUGCCUUUGGGAUGAGGAGCAUAACUGAGGAGUAAGAUUUCUCUGUUGCCCUUGGAGUGGAGCUGUUGAAGCUGUGGCAUCUGUUGGAUAAGUUAGACAGCCUCCAAAUUAUCCGGUACUUUUGCUGAUAAGUCAUUAGUAUACAUUAUACUAAUUCCGUUUUUUCAUUGUAUGAAAUCCUUGCUCAAUCUUUACAUUGUAAAGGCUUUAAAAAUGCGGCCUGUGUUCCUGUGAGAACAAAUCAAUGGUGUGUGUGUAUUUAUAGUGUAAGUUGUCGCCAGUAAGUGUAACUUGGCAAACGACGAAAACGUAAACCUUUCUCAACUCUGACUGCAACAGGAUCAUGGAGUAGUUGAAUCCCCUGUUCCAAAACCAGGCCUCAAUUUAAUACUUGGAUGUCAUCCAAGCAUAGCAAGUUGUAACCCGAAUGCAAUGUGGUAAAUUGUCGGAACUGUUUGUAAUGUUCUGUUUAAUAAAUUCUGGAUUUUAUUUGUAAUUUUAAAAAUAAACGACAUUUCACAGUU